AAUUCUCAACUUCAUCAGCUUUGUUAUGAAACUGUGUGGAGCUUGGAUGUGGGGGUUUGUGCAGAGCGCGUAAAAGCAACCUGCUCCCCUUAAAUAAAUUAGCGAGUUCAAACUGGGCUCCGUCUAUUGGUGUGAUAAUUAUCUACGCCGUGGAUUGGGUUUAGACUUGCUUCUAAUCGUCCGCAAGGACAAUCUUUUGACA
rnacentral:misc_RNA from 1 species